UUUACGCGGCGUGGUUCAUUGUGUGUUUUUAUUUUUUAAUUGUUAUUGUUUAGCUUGAAAAUGUCUGCGGUGUGGAAUUUUUUCGCAAAAAAAGAAACAAUCAACUUGUUUCUUGUAAUUUAUGCGGUAAAGAAUAUACAACGUGAGGAAAUACUACAAAAAUUUAGCCACUCAUUUAAAAACAAAACAUUAUAAUGCUUAUAUGCAAAUGUUGAAGCAUCAGACCCUUUCAACAACGAAAAAAUCUAGGAAAAGAACUGAAGUUACUGCAUCAAUAGACAAUGAUGAUCCUGAUGUUGAUGUUACGUUGUCAAGAAAUAAAAGUUCAAGUCAGAACCAAAAUAUCACAGACGAUUCUUCGAAUUCUGCAGAAACUAAUUCCCACAACUAUGAACCUAAAAGAAGAAAACAAUCCACCCUUGAAAGUUGCUUAGAGCGGUUUAAGUUUUGAAGAAGGCGGACAGAAACAUAAUGAAAUUACUCAGGCAUUAAUUUAUAUGAUAUGUAAGGACAAUUUCCCACGAUCAUGUGUGGAAAAAAGUGGUUUGCAAAAAUUCACUCGUACUGUUAGUCCUCUCUAUAAGCUACCAUUCAGAAAAA